rnacentral:lncRNA from 1 species
UUUUUUUCAGAAGAGGUGGUGAGUGUGUGGCUGACAGCAGGGGCUCUGGUGCAGGGUGACCUGAUCCAGUCCUGAUGAUGCCAAUUUCUACACAAGCAACCACCUUUCUGUGCCUCUGUGUUUUCAUCUGCAAAAUGGGGACGGUGAGGUAGUAGUGCCUGUGUUUUGGAGAGUAUAUGAUUUAAUACACAUGGAGUACGGGGAACAGCGCCUGGCCUAAAGUGAGUCCAAGAUAACAACGGCCUUGUUUCAUUACACGUGGUCCUGGCUGGGAAGAAAAGACACCACAGUUUGAUAAGAGGGGCCUUGGGGGACCUGACCUGGGCCCUGGGCCUGGGCGAGGAGGUGAUGAGGACACAGGAGAAUCCCCCCAAGGAGGUGACAUUCAUCUGAGAUGUGACAGGUGACGAGGCUCCUGGAGGUGGAAGAAAACAAACAGAAAGCUUAGAUGCAAAUGUGACUUCAUGCCCAAGUGUUCGUGAGAACCAAUAUACGCCAAGAAAGAGAAAGCCGGGUGGUGCCCCAGAUAAUUCGGGUGAAAAAGACUUCUACCAGAAAAUCAAAGACAUCCAGGCACAGCUUGAGGAUGCAGCCGUAGUCCAUCCAUCGUGUCUUCUUGUGAAUGAGCCUCAAGUUUCUUAGCAACACAGGACACGCUAAGUGUCCCUGUGACAUUCAGUGGAAAUGUUGAAGCAUCACUGAAAUUCCUUGAGCCAAGGUGCACCUGUUCAGGUCUCAAGACCUUUUCUGAGAGCUGGGCAGACCACCUUCCCUCACUGGGCUUCAGCUUCCUUAUUUAAAACUACACAUUCCUUUGGACAUUCCUUGUUUCUGCCCAAUGCAAGAUAAAGGAGAGGUGGCAGAAAAGUUGAACUUGUUUCUGCUGGUGUUCCCGGAAGAAAAAUCUUGAUCUCAGGGCAUCCUGAGGUGUGUCCUUGGGAGAAUGGAUCCUUGAUGUUAUGAAUGAAUUGUGUAGGAAUCGCACCCUCUAAUGGAAAGUCGAACUUUCAGACUCGCCAAAAAUCCAAAAAGAGGGUUCUGAAGUGUAUGUGGAAUCUUCAUGUGUCUUUUUGCAAGGACAUUACUCAUUCAUUCCCAAGGCAUUGGGCCGUUCCACUGUAAUUCACAGUUAGUUGGUUAAUUGCUGGUGUAGACCCCAACAUUUAGAUAUCCUACUUCCUUGCAAGCAGAGCCCUGGUUUUGCUCAGAUGCUGGGAAGCAAUGUGCUCUCUGACACCAGGGAGUGGAUUACCAUUGGUCUGAGCCCAGCAUGGCAGUCUCACUUACUUUUAGUAAUUGGCUUGGAGGGGACAUUGAGUCAGGGCUAGUCAAUGAGAUGUAAUUUGGGAGUCUAUUGGUGGGGGCUUCUGGGGUCUCUAAGGGGAUCUGUGAGGAGCAACUCUCUCUUUUCUCUCUUCUUUAUUCUGGUCAUGGUUCUGAGUGGAUGUCUUGGCAGGUGAGAUGGCAGCCAUCUUGUCUCUAUGAGGGCACAAGGCAGAGGAGAAGGCUGGCACACAGAGGAAGGGAGAGCAGAGCCAGGGGGCAUCAGCAGCAAGUGGCUGAGGUGACCAGCAGGGGACUUGCCUACGUGUGGCUCUCAGACCUUUCCUUAUUGCUGCAAGCAUUUCCCUCUGAGAAGGACCAGCUCUACCCACACUCUACCACUCCAUCUGCAAGCCCAGAGGUGCCCAGGAGUCCCUUGGCCUCCAUAUGAAGCUACCCCUUCCCUGGCCCACACCUCAGCUGACAGGGGCUGAUAGGAAGCUCCACAAUGCUGCGUGAGCCUGGAAAGAUCCCCACCUUCCUGCUCCUAAAGACACACCUUCCCCACCACAUUCCACCCUGAGAGCAUGGAAUUAAUCACCGGAUACCUUCUAUUCCUGUUGAAGUCCAUCUCCUCGUGAAGCCCGCCUCCUGGGUCAUCCUUUGUCCCCUGGACUCUCAGCCCUACAUGACCCAGUGGGAAAUGAGGCCUGAGCCCUAUUUCUCUGGCCCUUCCUGCCCUGUUUCUGUGUCAGUUUCCUUUGUAGCAUUGUCAUUGUCUGACUCAGUCUUUCCUGGGGAUCCUGGAGACAAUCAUCUUAGCCCAGGUCUCCUCACCCAGAGCCAAGGCCAACUGAAAGAGUCAGUGCCUUUGGGGCGCAGUGCCUUCGGGGCAGAUGCAGCCCCAGGGGUCCAGGGUGGGGAAACGGGAAGCGAGGUGGGGAGGCUGGGAAGUGAUGACUGAGCUGAUGACAGCCUCCCAAAGACCCAGCUGGUCACCAGGUCACGUGGAGCAUUUCCAGACAAGCUGUGCAGAAACGCUCCCCACAGGAUGGCCCAUAUGGGGAUGGUUGGGAGGGGCCAUUUAUAGCUAAUCUCUCUUUUUUCCUCUCCCUUGAGGGUGCAGGUUUGCUCUUCAGGGAGUCGUCUCUUUCUUUUCUUUUCUUUUCUUUUUUUUCUUGUUGAGACUGAGUCUUGCUCUGUCAUCCAGGCUGGAGUGCAGUGGCAUGAUCUCAGCUCACUGCAACCUCCACCUCCAGGGUUCAAAUGAUUCUCCUGCCUCAGACUCCCGAGUAGCUGGGAUUACAGGUGCCUACCACCAUGCCUGACUAAUUUUUGUAUUUUUAGUAGAGACGGGGUUUCACCAUGUUGGGCCAGGCUGGUCUUGAACUCCUGACUUCAAGUGAUCCACUUGCCUCGGCCUCCCAGAGUGCUGGGAUUACAGGCAUGAGCCACCACACCUGGCCGAGUCUUCUCUUUCUUAACACCAGGGUGCAUCACCCAGUCCCUUGGCAGCUGCUGGGGAAUCCAGAUCCCACGCUCAUUUUUGUGGCAACUUAGCUGAAUCCAGAAUUGGUGGAGGAUCCAGAAUCUUGGGGCGUCGGUCUCAGGCCGUGUGUGGUGUAAGGCCUGAAACUGAAGUGUAAUAUUAAGUACGGCCUUGAUGUCUUUGAGCUUCACAGGGCUGCAGAGGCCAAACUACUAGUUCCCUUCCCUCACCAAUAUGCUCCCAGCUCAGUGGGAAAGACUCCCACCUGGUAGGUUUACCUGUCAACUGGAGCAGCCACGCUCCACCUGGUCCUCAGCUUAACUGGCUUCACCUCUCUGCCCACAGGAACCAGGGGUACCUCACCCCGUUGUUACUUCAAGGUCUGCCUCCCACAGCCCCUCCUGUUCUCUCUGUUCCCAGGUGCACACCCUGUGGCUCUGCAGGGCGCGUGUUAUCCUCCCCUGCGGGCUGUAUUUGUGGCCGACCCACUGCCCGUCUCAUGUGUGCAGCGCUGGGUGUUGUGUGCUCGGCCAUCUCAUACUAUUUAGGGCGAGGAUGCAUCCCUCACCGAUGGGGUGAACGGGAGGUAGUCGGAACACAGUGGUGUCCUGUGGACCUGCGCUGAGUCAGUUCCUGCAGUGGAAGCUGGGGAAACCAGAGGUGACACGCUGCAUGGGUCUGAUACACAGCCCGGAGAGUUUGCAUCUCAUUUGCUUGACAGUUUUUCUCUAGUGGAAAAUAUACUUAUUUUUUUUUCUUUUUCUUUUCUUUUCUUUUUUUUUUUUUUUGAGAUGGAGUCUCACUCUGUUGCCCAGGCUGGAGUGCAGUGUCACGAUCUUCGCUCACUGCAAGCUCCGCCUCCUGGGUUCACACCAUUCUCCUGCCUCAGCCUCCCGAGUAGCUGGGACUACAGGUGCCCACCACCACGCCUGGCUAAUUUUUUGUAUUUUUAGUAGAGACGGGGUUUCACUGUGUUAGCCAGAGUGGUCUCAAUCUCCUGACCUUGUGAUCCACCUGCCUUGGCCUCCCAAAGUGCUGGGAUUACAGGCAUGAGCCACCGCGCCUGGCCCAAACUACUUUUUAAUGAAUGGCCUCUUCGGAAACUGCUCAAGGGGGAAAGAUGACUCUGGUUCUUGCAGCCAAAGUCUGUUUCCCUUUGCACUAAGACUGAUUUGUAAUACUCAUCAUAGCCGUUCAUUUUACUUUUGUGGAAUGAAUUCCAGGAGAAUUUCUCUUUUACAAGCCUAUCAAAUAUUAGGUGGUUUUGAGCAAGAGCUUUCAUAAGCAGUGUGUCAGGCUAACCCGCAAUAAUGUGAGAAAUUUAAAAAAUAAUUUGAUUAUUUUCCUUACCUCUGCCUCCCCAGUGAAUGGGAUGACGUGAAAAGUGUGAUGGGGAUGACUUCAGAGGCAAGGCUCCGUCUUCACAGAGAGAGGCCAUGCAGCCUGGCUUCACCCAGUCAGACCACAUCUGUGAUUUUCUUGCUCUCCUUUUAGCCUGACACACUUUGUUUCUUCAUUUCACUUUGAUUUUUGAGAUAUAAAUCGAAAUCCACAUACAAUUCACACUUUAACAGUAUAAAAUUCAGUGUUUUUUAGUAUUUGCAAGGUUGUGCAACCUUCAAUAUCAAAUCCCAGAACAUUAUUAUUGCCAAAAAGAAACCUUGUACCCAUUAGCAGUCAUUCUCCAACUGUCCUAGGGAAUUACUAAUUUAUUUUCUGUCUCUAUGGACUUGGCUGUUAUGGACAUUUCAUAAAUGGGACCAUAUACGAUGUGAUCUUUUGUGUCUGGCUUUUUUCACUUGCUAUAAUGUUCUCAAGGUUCAUUCACAUUGUAGCAUGAAUCAGCAUUUCAUUCCUUUUUAUGCCUGAAUAAUAUUCCAUUGCAUGGAUAACUGUCAUUUUUGUUUGUUUGUUUUAUUAUGUGUUUUUGAGACAGGGUCUUGCUCUGUCACCCAGUCUGGAGUACAGUAGCAUAAUCUCAGCUUGCUCCAACCUCCACCUCCUGGGUUCAAGCGAUUCUCAUGCCUCAGCCUCCUGAGUAGCUGGGAUCACAGGCAUAUGCCACUACACCGUGCUAAUUUUUGCACUUUUAGUAGAGAUGGGGUUUCACCAUGUUGUCCAGGUUGGUCUUGAACUCCUGGUAUCAAGUGAUCUGCCUACCUCGGCCUCCCAAAGUACUGGGAUUACAG